AUUGAACGCUGGCGGCAUGCCUUACACAUGCAAGUCGAACGGUAACAGGUCUUCGGAUGCUGACGAGUGGCGAACGGGUGAGUAAUACAUCGGAACGUGCCCGAUCGUGGGGGAUAACGAAGCGAAAGCUUUGCUAAUACCGCAUAAGAACUACGGAUGACAGCAGGGGAUCGCCAGGCCUUGCGCGAACGGAGCGGACGAUGGCAGAUUAGGUAGUUGGUGGGAUAAGAGCUUACCAAGCCGACGAUCUGUAGCUGGUCUGAGAGGACGACCAGCCACACUGGGACUGAGACACGACCCAGACUCCUACGGGAGGCAGCAGUGGGGAAUUUUGGACAAUGGGCGAAAGCCUGAUCCAGCCAUGCCGCGUGCAGGAUGAAGGCCUUCGGGUUGUAAACUGCUUUUGUACGGAACGAAAAGACUCUUUCUAAUAAAGAGGGUCCAUGACGGUACCGUAAGAAUAAGCACCGGCUAACUACGUGCCAGCCGCCGCCGUAAUAC
rnacentral:rRNA from 1 species